CACGUAGGGAGCAAGCGUUGUCCGGAAUUACUGGGCGUAAAGGGCGCGUAGGCGGGGAUUUAAGUUGGAUGUGAAAACUAUGGGCUCAACCCAUAGCCUGCAUCCAAAACUGGAUCUCUUGAGGGCAGGAGAGGAAAGUGGAAUUCCUAGUGUAGCGGUGAAAUGCGUAGAUAUUAGGAGGAACACCAGUGGCGAAGGCGACUUUCUGGACUGUACCUGACGCUGAGGCGCGAAAGCGUGGGGAGCGAACAGGAUUAGAUACCCGCGUAGU
rnacentral:rRNA from 1 species